UACACUGAAGACUAGGUGGCCUGUUAUCUUUGAAACAAUACAGAGAAAAUUAGCAUGGGCCCUAUGCAAGGAUGACCCCAAAAUUCAUCAAGUGUUCCACAUUUUG
rnacentral:snRNA from 1 species